rnacentral:lncRNA from 1 species
AUUCAUCCAAGACUCUAGGGAAGCUUCUUGGUCAGCAAGCAACUUGAAUGUAGGCUAAAAAAUGAAGCUACUUAAGGCCCAAGCAAUAUACAUGGGCUUGUCAUAAUGAAAAUAAGCUUUUUGGAGCCCAAGCAAUCACAACAACUAUACAAGUAGUUCAACGUCAUCAUUAUCUUCUUGAAGUUCAAAAUACAUAGAAUGAGCUUGUAAUCCAAUUCGACUCAAGC